UACGGAGGGAGCUAGCGUUGUUCGGAAUUACUGGGCGUAAAGCGCGCGUAGGCGGCUUUGUAAGUUAGAGGUGAAAGCCCGGGGCUCAACUCCGGAACUGCCUUUAAGACUGCAUCGCUUGAAUCCGGGAGAGGUGAGUGGAAUUCCGAGUGUAGAGGUGAAAUUCGUAGAUAUCGGAAAGAACACCAGUGGCGAAGGCGGCUUUCUGGACUCAUACUGACGCUGAGGCACGAAAGCAUGGGGAGCAAACAGG
rnacentral:rRNA from 1 species